GACAGAGGGGGCAAGCGUUGCUCGGAAUUACUGGGCGUAAAGGGCGCGUAGGCGGGAUGGCAAGUCGGUCGUGAAAUCCUUCGGCUCAACCGAAGAACGUCGAUCGAUACUGCUGUUCUUGAGGGUUGCAGAGGAGACUGGAAUUCCCGGUGUAGCGGUGAAAUGUGUAGAGAUCGGGAGGAACACCGGUGGCGAAGGCGAGUCUCUGGGCAAUUCCUGACGCUGAGGCGCGAAAGCGUGGGGAGCAAACGGG
rnacentral:rRNA from 1 species